rnacentral:rRNA from 1 species
CCUACGGGUGGCAGCAGUGGGGAAUAUUGGACAAUGGGCGAAAGCCUGAUCCAGCCAUGCCGCGUGUGUGAAGAAGGCCUUCGGGUUGUAAAGCACUUUCAGUGGGGAAGAAAGCCUUGGGGCUAAUACCCUCGAGGAAGGACAUCACCCACAGAAGAAGCACCGGCUAACUCCGUGCCAGCAGCCGCGGUAAUACGGAGGGUGCGAGCGUUAAUCGGAAUUACUGGGCGUAAAGCGCGCGUAGGCGGUCUGAUAAGCCGGUUGUGAAAGCCCCGGGCUCAACCUGGGAACGGCAUCCGGAACUGUCAGGAUAGAGUGCAGGAGAGGAAGGUAGAAUUCCCUGUGUAGCGGUGAAAUGCGUAGAGAUCGGGAGGAAUACCAGUGGCGAAGGCGGCCUUCUGGACUGACACUGACGCUGAGGUGCGAAAGCGUGGGUAGCAAACAGGAUUAGAUACCCCAGUAGUC